rnacentral:rRNA from 2 species
GAUGGUGCUUGCACCUGAUUGAUUUUGGUCGCCAACGAGUGGCGGACGGGUGAGUAACACGUAGGUAACCUGCCCAGAAGCGGGGGACAACAUUUGGAAACAGAUGCUAAUACCGCAUAACAACGUUGUUCGCAUGAACAACGCUUAAAAGAUGGCUUCUCGCUAUCACUUCUGGAUGGACCUGCGGUGCAUUAGCUUGUUGGUGGGGUAACGGCCUACCAAGGCGAUGAUGCAUAGCCGAGUUGAGAGACUGAUCGGCCACAAUGGGACUGAGACACGGCCCAUACUCCUACGGGAGGCAGCAGUAGGGAAUCUUCCACAAUGGGCGCAAGCCUGAUGGAGCAACACCGCGUGAGUGAAGAAGGGUUUCGGCUCGUAAAGCUCUGUUGUUAAAGAAGAACACGUAUGAGAGUAACUGUUCAUACGUUGACGGUAUUUAACCAGAAAGUCACGGCUAACUACGUGCCAGCAGCCGCGGUAAUACGUAGGUGGCAAGCGUUAUCCGGAUUUAUUGGGCGUAAAGAGAGUGCAGGCGGUUUUCUAAGUCUGAUGUGAAAGCCUUCGGCUUAACCGGAGAAGUGCAUCGGAAACUGGAUAACUUGAGUGCAGAAGAGGGUAGUGGAACUCCAUGUGUAGCGGUGGAAUGCGUAGAUAUAUGGAAGAACACCAGUGGCGAAGGCGGCUACCUGGUCUGCAACUGACGCUGAGACUCGAAAGCAUGGGUAGCGAACAGGAUUAGAUACCCUGGUAGUCCAUGCCGUAAACGAUGAGUGCUAGGUGUUGGGAGGGUUUCCGCCCUUCAGUGCCGGAGCUAACGCAUUAAGCACUCCGCCUGGGGAGUACGACCGCAAGGUUGAAACUCAAAGGAAUUGACGGGGGCCCGCACAAGCGGUGGAGCAUGUGGUUUAAUUCGAAGCUACGCGAAGAACCUUACCAGGUCUUGACAUCUUGCGCCAACCCUAGAGAUAGGGCGUUUCCUUCGGGAACGCAAUGACAGGUGGUGCAUGGUC